rnacentral:misc_RNA from 1 species
AAAAACUGCGGAGGGAUCAUUACCAAGUGACCCCGGUUUUUACCACCCGGGAUGUUCAUAACCCUUUGUUGUCUGACUCUGUUGCCUCCGGGGCGACCCUGCCUUCGGGCGGGGGCUCCGGGUGGACACUUCAAACUCUUGCGUAACUUUGCAGUCUGAGUAAAUUAAUUAAUAAAUUAAAACUUUUAACAACGGAUCUCUUGGUUCUGGCAUCGAUGAAGAACGCAGCGAAAUGCGAUAAGUAAUGUGAAUUGCAGAAUUCAGUGAAUCAUCGAAUCUUUGAACGCACAUUGCGCCCCCUGGUAUUCCGGGGGGCAUGCCUGUUCGAGCGUCAUUUCACCACUCAAGCCUCGCUUGGUAUUGGGCAACGCGGUCCGCCGCGUGCCUCAAAUCGACCGGCUGGGUCUUCUGUCCCCUAAGCGUUGUGGAAACUAUUCGCUAAAGGGUGUUCGGGAGGCUACGCCGUAAAACAACCCCAUUUCUAAGGUUGACCUCGGAUCAGGUAGGGAUACCCGCUGAACUUAAGCAUAUCAAUAA